CUUACACAUNGCAAGUCGAACGGCAGCACGGGGGCAACCCUGGUGGCGAGUGGCGAACGGGUGAGUAACAUAUCGGAACGUGCCCUGGAGUGGGGGAUAACUAGUCGAAAGAUUAGCUAAUACCGCAUACGAUCUACGGAUGAAAGUGGGGGAUCGCAAGACCUCAUGCUCGUGGAGCGGCCGAUAUCUGAUUAGCUAGUUGGUGGGGUAAAGGCCUACCAAGGCAUCGAUCAGUAGCUGGUCUGAGAGGACGACCAGCCACACUGGGACUGAGACGCGGCCCAGACUCCUACGGGAGGCAGCAGUGGGGAAUUUUGGACAAUGGGCGCAAGCCUGAUCCAGCAAUGCCGCGUGAGUGAAGAAGGCNUUCGGGUUGUAAAGCUUUUUUGUCAGGGAAGAAACGGUUCGGGUUAAUACCUUGGGCUAAUGACGGUACCUGAAGAAUAAGCACCGGCUAACUACGUGCCAGCAGCCGCGGUAAUACGUAGGGUGCAAGCGUUAAUCGGAAUUACUGGGCGUAAAGCGUGCGCAGGCGGUUGUGCAAGACAGAUGUGAAAUCNNCGGGCUCAACCUGGGAAUUGCAUUUGUGACUGUACGGCUAGAGUGUGUCAGAGGGGGGUAGAAUUCCACGUGUAGCAGUGAAAUGCGUAGAGAUGUGGAGGAAUACCGAUGGCGAAGGCAGCCCCCUGGGAUAACACUGACGCUCAUGCACGAAAGCGUGGGGAGCAAACAGGAUUAGAUACCCUGGUAGUCCAC
rnacentral:rRNA from 1 species